AGAGUGCAGCGGGUCACCCUAAUUCCCAAAAAGCUACACAAGUAUCUCGACUAAUCCCAAGAACCCUGCCCUGGCAUAUCCUUGCAGGCUGGAGGGAGACCCCAGUGAAUGGCUGGAAACUGAUCGUAUCUCAGGUGCUGAUGUCAAACGUCUGAACAGGGCAGUGAUUCUCCAAAACAAUGGCUGCCUUUGGUUUCAACCUCCUCCUCACCUCAAAUGGGGGUGCAUGGAACAGUGAAGCUUAGUGGUUAAGAGCAUGGACUCUGGACUCUCACAGACCUGAUUUCAGUUACAGGCUUUGCUGUUUCUAGCUGGGCAUUCCUAUGUAAGUCACAUAACCUCUCUGAGACUGUGUUAUCUGAAUAAAUAUGGCAGGGGAAACAGACCUAUGUGACUCACUGGGUAUCACUAACUCCACCAUUCC
rnacentral:lncRNA from 1 species